AGAGGAGUCAUUUUGUCUUCACAGUGUAUGAUGUUAAAUGUUUUAUAAUUAUAUAGAGCUUCACACAUUUUCUGAAGUGCUUUCUGAUUAUUUAUACCCCACUUUUAUUUUGGAGAAUUACAUAUUAUAAAAUGUUUUACAUUAUAAUGACAAUUUUGUGUGAAAAGCCUGGUGUUGUAUGGUAGUUAAGAGUUGAAUUGCCUUAACAUCCAAAUAAGUAUUUGUUCACACUUUGGCAAAAUGUAAAAAGUACAUCUCUGCUAAUUCCAUAGAAUGUAAUUUAUUAAGUAUUUAUUUUGAAGUUAUUCUAAAUCAUUAUAUUUUAAUCUAACUACAUGUAUUGCCAAAUUAAGUUCAUUUUUGUAUAUUAUAUAUGUUCAUAGAUAUACUUUGAAUUAGAUGGUCCUUUUUUGCAAAUUUAUUUCUUCAGUCAAUAAAUAUGUUUAAAGACUAUAAUUAAAACAUUUUAGUACAACUAUCAAAAGACUCUAAUUAAACAUUUAAGUACAAUAAAAAUAUAUGGUAAAGUAACAAACAGAUGAGUCAAGACUGUGUUAAAUUAAAGCAAAAUAAGGCUGGGAAUAAUGAUUUGGGGGUGUGUCAUUAUUAUGGGUCCGGGAUUUAAGGGUUGGAGAUGAGGCAAAAUUUUGAGCCAGGAAGAGACCUUAUUGACGGUUGGGGAUUAAUAAGGGUUUUUAAAUAUCCAUAAGAGUCUGGAUUCAGGAUCCAGGAUGAGGCCUAAUUAAGAGUCUAUGAUUAAGGGUUUGGGAUGCGGCGUAAGUAAAGUCUGAGGAUAAAGGGUUGUGGAUGAGGCAUAACGAAGGGUUGAAGAUGGCAAUUUGAAUCUCUGAUGUUGAGACUUGGUGAGGCUGUCCCUUUAUGAAUAGUCAGUAUUCUUUGAUAUAGGCAGAAAUAACAUGGGAUGUGUGUGGUUUUGGAAAAGUUAGUUUUGACAAGGCUGUCAUUUAAGUAUUGCUAAAAAUAUUUUAAGAAUAUUUUUCUUAAAAUGCCAUCAUAACACAGUUUUUAAGCAGGCAAAAUGGAAACUGAUGGAUUUUGUUUUUAUUCAGAAUUUUUUUUUUGUCUGAUUAAAUGUUUUUUAAGAACCUUGGCAUCUUUAAUAUGAACUUGGGUCUUCUUUUGAAAUGACAACAUGACAAAAUAUUUUUUUUUUCACACAAUUUUGCAUGACUUUUAUGAUUAACAAAUUGAUGCUUAUUGUUUUGUAAACUGCAUGCUUUCCUUGUGGAUGUGCAGGACCAUGAUACAGAUUCUCUUGGAUCUGUAGAUCUGGCACCAUACAUGACUUCACAGCAUUUCACAAAUAAAAAUCUCUCUGCAAAUAUCACCAGUAAACCUUCUGGCAAUAGUAGUAGUAAAAACCAGGAGAAUGCGCACGGGAAAAAUGGGCGGGCUGUUCGUUCUGCAGAAGGUACGAGAAAGGAGGGCAGCUCUGCAUGCACGCUACAGUAACAUACUUGAAGGGGGAAAUUAUUUUGAUCUUCAGUACAUUAAGGAAACAAAAAUCUUUGACACAUGGAAAUUUGAUA